rnacentral:lncRNA from 1 species
UUUUAAUAAUAUAAUUAUUUUUCUGAAAAAAACUUUAUUUGAACUGAUUUUUUACCAAAUUAAUACAAAGUCGGUACAAUUUUUUUUAUUUUAAUUUAUAUUUAAUCUCAAAUAAAUUCAUCAGAAAAUAUUCAACUAAUCAACUAAAUACUUGGAAGGCAUAAAGUAAUAUAAUGUGAAAAUAUUACACAUUGAUCUUUUAAAUCUAUAAGAUUAUUUUAUAGUUAAUUCAAAUGAUUUAUAUUAGAUUAACAUAUUAUGCUAUCGUUUAUUUCUAAUUAGUUGUCAUUAAGUAGAAAACUUAUUGCUCUCUUAAAAUAGCUAUAAAAAUAUUUAGGUUACUUUUUUAAUAAUUAAAACCAAAUAUAUUUCUAUGAUUAUAGGUAUCUUAAAUUUAUU